GUAGGAACCAGAUCUAGGGUUUCAGGGUUAGAUCUUGAAACUUUUUUAAGAUCAUACAGCGGAAGACUAAAAUAAAUCAAAAUUUAUUUUUUAAAACCAGAGAAUCUCUAGAUCUAAGAUCCUAUUACAUGAUUAUUACAUAGCAUUAAAUCAGAAAUUAAAAUAUAUAAAUAUAGCAUGAACUACAUGUUGAUCAUAUCAACAUGUUUUUAUACCACAUCUAAUGUACGUAUUAAACAAUAGAUC
rnacentral:lncRNA from 1 species